UACGUAGGGUGCAAGCGUUGUCCGGAAUUAUUGGGCGUAAAGAGCUCGUAGGCGGUUUGUUGCGUCGGCUGUGAAAUCCCGAGGCUCAACCUCGGGUCUGCAGUCGAUACGAGCAAACUAGAGUGUUGCAGGGGAGACUGGGAAUUCCUGGUGUAGCGGUGAAAUGCGCAGAUAUCAGGAGGAACACCGGUGGGCGAAGGCGGGUCUCUGGGCCGGAUAACUGACGCUGGAGGUGCGAAAGCGUGGGGAGCAAACAGG
rnacentral:rRNA from 1 species